ACGCUUAACACAUGCAAGUCGAACGAGAUCUUCGGAUCUAGUGGCAGACGGGUGAGUAACGCGUGGGAACCUGCCCAGUAGUAGAGGACAACUUGGGGAAACUUAAGCUAAUACUUUAUACGUCCUUCGGGAGAAAGCUUUAUGCGCUAUUGGAUGGGCCCGCGUUAGAUUAGUUUGUUGGUGAGGUAAUGGCUCACCAAGACUACGAUCUAUAGCUGGUCUGAGAGGAUGAUCAGCCACACUGGGACUGAGACACGGCCCAGACUCCUACGGGAGGCAGCAGUGGGGAAUAUUGGACAAUGGGGGCAACCCUGAUCCAGCGAUGCCGCGUGAGUGAUGAAGGCCCUAGGGUUGUAAAACUCUUUCGUCAGGGAAGAUAAUGACGGUACCUGAAGAAGAAGAUCCGGCUAACUCCGUGCCAGCAGCCGCGGUAAUACGGAGGGAUCUAGCGUUAUUCGGAAUUACUGGGCGUAAAGCGAGCGUAGGCGGAUUUGUAAGUUGGAGGUGAAAUCCCAGAGCUUAACUCUGGAACUGCCUUCAAAACUACAUUUCUUGAGUUUGGUAGAGGAGAGUGGAAUUCCUAGUGUAGAGGUGAAAUUCGUAGAUAUUAGGAGGAACACCAGUGGCGAAGGCGACUCUCUGGGCCAAUACUGACGCUGAGGUUCGAAAGCAUGGGUAGCGAACAGGAUUAGAUACCCUGGUAGUCCAUGCAGUAAACGAUGAGUGCUAGAUGUUGGGAAUUUAAAUUUCCAGUAUCGCAGUUAACGCGUUAAGCACUCCGCCUGGGAAGUACG
rnacentral:rRNA from 1 species